rnacentral:rRNA from 1 species
CAUGGAGGGUGAGAAUCCCGUCCGGCUGACCUUCAGGACGUUUUACGAUACGCUCUCAAAGAGUCGAGUUGUUUGGGAUUGCAGCUCAAAAUGGGAGGUAAAUUUCUCCUAAGGCUAAAUACCGGCGAGAGACCGAUAGCGAACAAGUACCGUGAGGGAAAGAUGAAAAGAAUUUUGAAAAGAAAGUCAAACAGUACGUGAAAUUGUUGAAAGGGAAACGGUUGAAGCCAGUCGUACCGACGGGAAUUCAACUUCUCGAGUGCUAAUCGUGGGUGACGUUGAGCCUCACGGCCUUCGUUGCUUGUGUUGUUGGUGCUUUUGGGGUGUACUUUUCCGUAUUGGUAGGUCAGCAUCGAUUUCGAUCGUCAUAAAAUGAUCGGGGGAAUGUAGCUUCGGUCUCGUAUCGGAGUGUUAUAGACCUUGGUAGAUGUGACGAUUGGGAUCGAGGAUUGCAACGAAUACCCUUUGGGCUAUCCGUCUGUCCUCUGAAAGUCGCUCGGGUGUCGAAAGCGUGCUUAUGGCUAUUCGAGUUGGCGGUCAACAGGUUAGAACGUGAUUAUAUUCGUUAAGGAUGUUGACGUA